rfam:Schistosoma mattheei strain Denwood, Zambia genome assembly, scaffold: SMTD_scaffold0000843
GCACAGCUGAGGAGUCCCAUAGUGGGACGAAACGGCCUUCCGGUAC